AUUGAACGCUGGCGGCAGGCCUAACACAUGCAAGUCGAGCGAAGCGGCGGACGGGUGAGUAAUGCCUAGUAAUCUGCCUGGUGGUGGGGGAUAACGUCAGGAAACGGGCGCUAAUACCGCAUACUAUCAGAUGAGCCUAGGGCGGAUUAGCUAGUGUGUGGGGUAAAGGCCUACCAAGGCGCCGAUCCGUAACUGGUCUGCGAGGACGAUCCGUCACACUGGAACUGAGACACGGUCCAGACUCCUACGGGAGGCAGCAGUGGGGAAUAUUGGACAAUGGGCGAAAGCCGGAUCCAGCCAUGCCGCGUGUGUGAAGAAGUUCUUCGGAUUGUAAAGCACUGUAAGUUGGGAGGCGGUACCAACAGAAUAAGCACCGGCUAACUUCGUGCCAGCAGCCGCGGUAAUAC
rnacentral:rRNA from 1 species